AAUAAGUUUUCCUUAGAUUAUCAACAAUACUCUUAACAUUCAGCAUCUUAAUUCUUAUCUUUUAACAUGGUACAUCAUCUCCUCCUUAUUCCAUCACACACACAUUCAAAAAAAAUUUAAUUUAUUAUGAUUUUCUUAAUAAAUUUCAAUAAUAUAUCUCACUAUUUUUACUGUAUAUAAUUUUUUUCCUUUAUGUUUUAUUUUUAUGGUUAUAUAUUAUUAAAAGAGCUACUGUGAUUUAUUUCAAAAAAUUUGAUUUUUUUUAUAUAUCUAAAAUAUGUAAAUUAAUCUCUAUCUAUUGUGUCUAAAAUGAUACAUUUGUAUAUACAAAUAUAUAUAAUUGAAAAUUAAAUUAAAUUAACUAUAGAAAAAUAGUUUUAAAUAAUAAAGGUGAAAAAGAAAUCUAAAACUUUGGUCAACGAAUAACAAUAUAACAUGUGGUAUUGGUAGUCCCAAUUUCGCGUAUUCAACACAUUGAAAGAUUUUAACUAUGUUUAAUAUACUUUAUUGUAUAAUUUAUUUCAACGCUUUUAUUGUAAUGAUUCAAUUACUGUUUAUUCAAAAAAAUGUUUCAAUUAAUGAUUAUUUAUUAAUCACAUCAACUAUUUUUUUCUCAAACUCGAGACCAUAUAUUUAGACCAUUCAAAUUUAUUUAAAUAUUUUCUAUAUUAUAGUGGAAUUCAUUAUAAGGUUUGGAUAUAAAUAGAAUAAGCUAUUCCAUUUUCUAUGCAUAAAAGAAAACAUGAAUAUCUAUUUUGGGAAAAUGUAAAAUUACCUCUCGAUACUAUUAUAAAAUAGAAAUGAAUUGAAAAUAGUCUUAGACCUAUCAUGAAAAAUCUUAUACUAUAAAGAAGACUAUUCCAUUCUUCUCAUGCUGCCACGUCAGUAAAUAAGUAAGGGAGGAGAAGACACAUGUCUCAUUAAACUAAAAGGCUUCUUUUAAUUUUCGUAUGGACUUAAACGAUUGUAUUAUUUGUGGGCUCUGAAUAAUGGAUUUUGGCCUGAGAAAGAAAGUAAACCUUGGGCCGUUGUUUUCCUGCACCUACCUCCUUCACGAGAAGCGUUCUAGGGUUCUUCUUCUUCUCCAAAAUCUGAUAACGUCUACAAACAAUGGAGUUAGGGAUAGGGGAGACGAGGCUUCGUAAUUCGUCAGAUCGUGUUGUUUCGUGAUCGAUUCUUCUCUCGCCCCCGAACCGUUACAAGUUGCAUUUAUUAACCACCAUUCAAUGAUCCUUAUCUCUUUUCUCAGCCUAAACAGGCUAUAUAAGUACCUGCCUGUGGAAUGCAUUGAUAUCAAUCUCAAUGGAUUAUAGAAGCUUGGUCUCUUCUGGACAGAGAAGCCUUGAAAUCCAGCACGCUUCAUCUUCCAAUUAUUAAAAAGUUGUGGGUUUAUAUUCCAGAUCUCAAGCAUACAAUUUGUUCAGCUGUUGAUGUCGUGCACGGUAUGGUGUCUUCCAUAUUCUCACUGAUAUCAAGGUGGUGAUAAUAUGAAAGGGUGGACUGAGAAGAUGAGCGAUGAUGAGCUUGAGAUAGUGAGGAAUGCCAGUGGUGUGCUGCUUCAAAGAGAGAUCCCAGACUCAAUCAACAUUCAAGUUGCUAAAAUUCGUAUCAAGUUUUUAAAUUUAUUUGAUUCUAAUCUUGAUUUUAUUCAAGGAUGCAUCUUUUUGUUUAGAUAGAGAAAUGGUGUCGUGGAUAAGAUAUAGCAUUUGGAACUGGAAUGGAGAUUGAUCAUAUAUUAUUUGAAUCAUCAUGAUGAGAUUUCCAAUGGAACAUUAUGUUGAGUAGAAUUUUCUAAGUAACUUAAGUUGGUGGGGGAUGUGUUGCAGGCUGUGAAGAGAGCAGUUGUUCCGGUCAUCCUUGACGUGGGAGGAAUGAAUACGCCAAUCCCUAAUGAGCUAUUGGAUUCAGUCGACGUCUUAAGCUCGAAUGUAUCUGAGCUCAGUCUCUUGACCGGAAAGCAUACUAAAACUUUUGAACAGUUUAGCCAGGCUGUUGCCAUAAGUUGGUAUAUAAUUCUUCUUUUGCACAUUACCAGUACUGAAACUCCCAGAUUUUGGUUACUGGCUUUGUGAGUUUUAGGCUAUCAGUCUGAAAAAAAUUGUAAUUAGGGCUGUGUAUAUUAUUAACGAAAACCACAUGUGUUGUCGUCAACAUUCGUUGAGCAUCUCUCGGAAACUAUCUAAUCCCUCCCCGCCGUUUUGAGUCAGAAGUAAAAGUGUUUGUGCUCUCCCAAGACACAACCGCUGCAGUUUUCACCGCCGAUUAGAAAACUAGAAGGUCGCCCCAGAUUUGUCAAACAAGUGUGGUGAGCAUGUCAAUGAGAGCAAAGGUAGUUUCAUGAGGUUUAGCAACACAAGAGUGUAACCUGUUAUUCCUCUCCCUCCAUAGGAAAUAGAAUGUUCUUCGAGUGACCAGUUUCCUUUGUAACAUACAAGAGCGCCCUCCUGCCGGAAAGAGAGGAGACAAGCGAUCCAGUUUCUUUCAAAUUUUGAUUAGAUAACAUUAUUGUGUUGACAAAAAGAAAGUUAACAGUAUUUUAUCAUAUUAUAAAUGAUAUAGUUUAAAUUCCAUAAUCUCAUAUUUGAAAAAAAAACAAGAUAUGCGAAAACAUAACAUUGUUUGAAUCCAUUUUCAAAACUAAUCAAACCAUCUGAAAAGCACUCAAAGAAUUUUUUUUUUUCAAAUCGUCUAUUUAUAUAUUUCAAACCUUUGAUUAAAGAAUCAUUAGCACCAUUAUAAGAUUUUAUAUAGCCACGUAAAAAGGUUUCUCAAUUAAAGAUUUAGAUCAUGAGUGAACUAAAUAUAAAAAUAUUUAUCGUUCUUAAUAGUUUAAAUAUUAUGUAUAAAAGAAAUGUAAUAACUAUAAAAAGUUUUUACUAUCAUAUCCAAUUACUUACUUUCAUAGACAAAUAAAUGAAUAGUAAUAAAAAUGAAGCCAUUAACGUUUUCAUAGAAUUUUUUAAAAAGAUGAGAUAAUAUUUGUCUAAUAAUAAUAAGAAAACAAAUAAUUAAAGUUAAUGUUAUUUUAAUUGACAAUAAAAUUAUAUUAUCAAAAUUUUAUUACAAUUUAAAAUAUUUUUUUAUUAUUUAUUUAUUCACAUGCCCGCCCGUAAGGCGGAUUUACCGUAGUGAUGUUUAUAAACUACAGGCUAUUCACGUCAAAAGUUUUUUUUUUAAUUUAAGCGAUUUUGUUUUUUAUUGAAUUACAGGUUUGACUCAUUUUUAAUAUGUUUUAUUUUGAAUUUUUUAAAAAUAAAUUUAAAUAAUUUUUGUUUUCUCUUCAUUAAAAUUUUCCUCUUAUCCCCUUUUUAUUAUUUGGGGAGCAUUUAAAAUAAAUAACCUUUAGUUCAUGUGUUUAUUACAAAUGUGCCAUUUUUUACGUGGCAACUCCACAAGCUCUCUCACCUAUUCUAUUUAAAAACUCUUUGUUAACUAGAGUAAUUACACAACAUGCCAUUGAUCAAAACAUUAUAAUUACCUUAGCUUUGUCUAAAUAUAUUCGUAUCACAUAUAUACAUAUCACAUUAAAAGUUGUUAUCAUUUAUUUCUUGCGUUUAAUUACCUUAACCGAAGUUUUUUCAUUAAUUUGUUAAUUACCUUAACUGAAUUCUUUUCAUUAUUUUUUUUCAAUACAAAAACAUUACUUUUUUCUGUACAUAUAUAUUAGUCUAAUUUUUUAUUCAAAAUGAAUAUAGAACCAAUAACCAACUUUCAUAUUACAACAAAGAAAUUUAUAAGAAACGAAAAAAUUAACGUUUGAUGAUCGAUCAAAGUUUGUUUUCUUAAAAAUACUAAAAAGUAUUUGAUGAUCAAUACGUGCUCAAGUGAUUGAUUUUCUAAAAAAUACCAAAAAAUAUUUGUUCUCUUAAAAAUACAUCAAGAAGAAAAGUUUAUUUUCUUAAAAAUACUAAAAAGUACGAGGUGCGAUUCACUCUGAUUCAUAAAUGAUUAUUUUUCUAUCAUUAGUAUUUUUAUAAAACGUGCCAGUAAUGUUUGAUGAUUAAUCAAAGUUUGUUUUCUAUCUGUUUCCUAUACCACCUCUUUCUGAUUGAUUUCUUUUAAAGGAAUUUCCUAUAUUUCCUCUUGAUGUUUCCUAUAAUAUCUAUGCAUUUAUCCAUAAGCCAUUAUGAUUGAUUUUUUGGUUUCAAUACACAUUAUAUUCACGAUACUCAUGCAAUAUUUUCUGCACAAGUUCAAUCUUUGAAAUAAUGUAAUUGGUGCAAGAUUGAAACACAUUGACAAAUUUGCAUAUGUAGGAUACUUAGUUGUUCGAAUUAGCCAAAUAUGGUAACAGCUGAUUGAUUGAUCAAUCACAUUAUACACCUUCUAUUUAAUUAAAAUGUGUAAUAUAUUUUUUUCACUAUAAAUAUAUGGCUAAUACAAUCCAUCGACUAUCAUCAUUUUUUUUUUAAAUUACAAGAUAUUUACGGGGCUUUAGUAGAAGUUGGAUUUGUCAAAGAAUAUAUGACAGAACCUACUCACGGAAACAAUGGUUUCAUCGACCAUAAAAUACGUUCUUUGUCCAAAACAUGGAGUAAGUAUUUCACGUUUGAAAUUAAAAGUUACUCAUUUAAUUACUUUCAUAUUGUCUAAAUGAAUUUUUUUCACUGAUUACAGUAAUGUUGUUAUCAAGUGUGUCACUUAUGGAACCCUUGCUCAUGUUUUCCAAGACUUAUGGAAUUCUACAAAUGCAAAUGUUGUACUCUGUGUGUUACAAUUUUGGCAAAUUAAUUGGGGAGUAGGUAAUAUAUUGUACUAAUUUGUAAUAAACAAAUGGCUGGAUCUGAUAUUCCCUUCGUAUAUUGCUGAAUAUUUUUUUUUUCAUUUUAAGCUCGACUGAAGCACGUGACAAUAGGAAUGGUAAAGUGGGUACUGGACCGCGGGCCCGGCCCGUUAGGGGUUGGUGCGGGGCGGGUUUGGGCUAAGAAUAUCAUGACCCGCAAAAAAGCGGGCCUGGCGGGCUUGAGCUUGCUCUGGAUAUCAUUACUCGUUUUAGCUAGCUACGUAACUAAGUAGCUGACCAAAGACGUUUUUGUUGUUUCUUCAGUUUGAUGGGGAACAAAGCGGGUACAUUUGAAGAUAUUGUGGACGCAUACUUGGCAUAUGGAGUGAUGUCUCGAUAUAACAGCCAAAGGACCUCGGGUUAGUGCUUCUUACGCAUAAGUAGUAAGCAUUGCUAGGAUCACGGUUUAGAUAGGGGAACUCAUUGUUUAGAUAGGAGUCACGGUGUAGGUAGAGAAUGUUGUUUGAACUGUUGUUUGAACUGUUUUUUUAGAAUGUUGUUUGAACUGACUUAGAACUCGGGAAUGUUUGAGAAUAUUGUUUGAACUGUUGUUUGAGAAUGUUGUUUGAAAUCGAUCAUGUUAGUGCGAAUGUUUGAGAAUGUUGUUUGAACUAUUGUUUGAGAAUGUUAAAUUGUCAGGAAGCGAUCACGUCUAAAUUUUUAAUUUUUAAGUUUCCUAAUUUUACAAAAUUGAAUAAAAAUAGGGAUCAAAUUAAAAAAACCCUACCUCCAUUCUGUGACGUCCCGCGGGACGGCCCGCGAAGGCUUACACAUUUUGCGGUACGGGAUUGGGCAGCUAGUUUCAGGACCGCGUCCCGCGCGGGACGGUCCCGCCGAGUACCGCCAGAAGACAAACCCGCAGCGGGUCGGGACGGGACGGGACGGGACGGGACGGGACGGGACGGGAGAGCCCAAUUGCCAUCCCUACGUGACAACAUUGAUGGGUUUUCCAAAAUUAUUUUUGAACCCAAAGAUGUUCCAGAAAUCAAUGUUUUCAGAAAGAGGUAUAUCCCAUUAGUUCAUUUUGUGAAUUUGGUAAGUAUGUAUGUUUCGCUUGUUAAACUAAUUCUUACUUUUUUCUUGGUAUACAAUUGCAAACUACGAGUUCUGAAAAUCCUUUUCGCGGCACUUUGUUUUUUCAGAUUUUUAUUUAUUUCUUUAUAAUUUGGGACCUUAGUACUUUGGUUUUUUUAACCUAUGUUUCUUCUUAUAUUAUAAUCAUAAUUUUAUUAUGCCAGGAAUAAUUCUAUUUCUUAUGUUUUGUUUUGUCUUAAAUUCAUACUCCCUCUGUUCCUAAAUAUAUGAUGUUUAGAAUAGUUUUUAUGUUCCAAUAUGUAGGAUGUUCUUAUAUUUCUAGGUAACUUUAGGUUUAUCAAAAACUGUGUAACCAAUCAAAUUUAAUAGUUUUAUUUUAAAAAUUGGUUGAAUAGUUUUUAAUUUAAAAUUUUAAUGAUACUUUUUAGAUAAAAAGUAACUUUUUUAAUAAGUGUGUUUUAUCUAAAAAAUCUUAUAUUUAGGAACAUAGAGAGUAAUAAAUUAAUAU